GGGUGAUCAGGCCGCAACAUCUGUCACCCUACUGAUCGUGAGGGUUGAUUUGGUGGAUCUGGAUGGCAAGGCAAGUGUCCCCUUCCUUUUCCAAUGUUCCAUGUGCAUCACUCCCAAAGCUGUGUGCUCGGUCAAAGAGGACAAUCAUUCCUGAGAGAGGAGGACAGCUCUUUGGUCGAGGGUACAGGAGUCACUUCACUCCUCUACUAAAACUUCCAAAGAAACUCUGAAGUUUUAUGACUUAUGUAUGUUUUUGCUGGACACUGCUAUAGAAUUAGUAAUGCCUCAGACUGCAUUGUCUU
rnacentral:snRNA from 1 species